rnacentral:rRNA from 1 species
AACGAACGCUGGCGGCAUGCCUAAUACAUGCAAGUCGAACGAGAUCUUCGGAUCUAGUGGCGCACGGGUGCGUAACGCGUGGGAAUCUGCCCUUGGGUUCGGAAUAACUUCUGGAAACGGAAGCUAAUACCGGAUGAUGACGUAAGUCCAAAGAUUUAUCGCCCAAGGAUGAGCCCGCGUAGGAUUAGGUAGUUGGUGAGGUAAAGGCUCACCAAGCCGACGAUCCUUAGCUGGUCUGAGAGGAUGAUCAGCCACACUGGGACUGAGACACGGCCCAGACUCCUACGGGAGGCAGCAGUAGGGAAUAUUGGACAAUGGGCGAAAGCCUGAUCCAGCAAUGCCGCGUGAGUGAUGAAGGCCUUAGGGUUGUAAAGCUCUUUUAACCGGGAUGAUAAUGACAGUACCGGGAGAAUAAGCUCCGGCUAACUCCGUG